UACGUAGGGGGCAAGCGUUGUCCGGAUUUAUUGGGCGUAAAGCGCGCGCAGGCGGUCAUCUACGUCUGGGGUGAAAGCCCGGAGCUCAACUCCGGGAUUGCCUUGGAUACGGGAUGACUUGAGGAUCGGAGAGGCAAGGGGAAUUCCACGUGUAGCGGUGAAAUGCGUAGAGAUGUGGAGGAACACCUGUGGCGAAGGCGCCUUGCUGGCCGAUUUCUGACGCUGAGGCGCGAAAGCGUGGGGAGCAAACAGG
rnacentral:rRNA from 1 species